UUCCCUGGAACGGGACGCCGCAGAGGGUGAGAGCCCCGUCUGGCUGGCCACCGAGCCUCUGUAAAGCUCCUUCGACGAGUCGAGUAGUUUGGGAAUGCUGNUNAAAAUGGGAGGUAUAUGUCUUCUAAAGCUAAAUAUUGGCCAGAGACCGAUAGCGCACAAGUAGAGUGAUCGAAAGAUGAAAAGCACCUUGAAAAGAGGGUUAAACAGUACGUGAAAUUGUUGAAAGGGAAGCGCUUGUGACCAGACUUGGGCGCGGCGGAUCAUCCGGGGUUCUCCCCGGUGCACUUCGCCGUGUUCAGGCCACCAUCAGUUCGGCGGGGGGGAAAAAGGCUUCGGGAACGUGGCUCCUCCGGGAGUGUUAUAGCCCGUUGCAUAAUACCCUGCGCUGGACUGAGGACCGCGCAUCUGCAAGGAUGCUGGCGUAAUGGUCACCAGCGACCCGUCUUGAAACACGGACCAAGGAGUCUUUCUUCCUAUGCGAGUGUUCGGGGGUCU
rnacentral:rRNA from 1 species